GUGGGGAAUAUUGGACAAUGGGCGAAAGCCUGAUCCAGCCAUGCCGCGUGUGUGAAGAAGGUCUUCGGAUUGUAAAGCACUUUAAGUUGGGAGGAAGGGCAGUAAGUUAAUACCUUGCUGUUUUGACGUUACCGACAGAAUAAGCACCGGCUAACUUCGUGCCAGCAGCCGCGGUAAUACGAAGGGUGCAAGCGUUAAUCGGAAUUACUGGGCGUAAAGCGCGCGUAGGUGGUUUUGUAAGUUGGAGGUGAAAUCCCCGGGCUCAACCGGGGAACUGCCUCCAAAACUGCAUGACUAGAGUACGGUAGAGGGUAGUGGAAUUUCCUUUGUAGCGGUGAAAUGCGUAGAUAUAGGAAGGAACACCAGUGGCGAAGGCGACUACCUGGACUGAUACUGACACUGAGGUGCGAAAGCGUGGGGAGCAAACAGGAUUAGAAACCCUAGUAGUCC
rnacentral:rRNA from 1 species